CAUAGAUAGUUCCUUAUCUUUGGCUUAACUUGUUAAACAAGUGAUGGGAUCAAACAUUCAGGAUCACUGGGACUCUGGUCUCUGUGAUUGCUUUGAGAACGCCAGCACCUGCUGCUAUGGAUUUUGGUGCUGUCCUUGCCUUGCCUGCACAGUGUCAAAUAGAUUCGGAGAGAACCGUUGUCUCCCAUUAUGUGACAUUUGCAGCCCGGCUAUGUUCGCAGCAUUUGGGAUUCCUUUGUUUGCACCACCUGCAGGUCUGUCUAUGAGGGCUGCCAUGAGAAACAGAUAUGGUAUCAAGGGCUCUCUCUGUAAGGACAUCGCAGUGGCAUGUUGUUGCGGGUGGUGCUCCUGGUGUCAGAUGCACCGAGAGUUAAAACACCGUAAGAAAACUCCCACCGUCAUCAAUGUGCAGAAUCAAACCAUUUUCGCCACACAGCCUGCUCCGAUGAUGAUGAUGCAGCCCCAACCAGUGAUGCAACAACAAGAAGUCAUCAACAUUUCAUACUGAGCUUUGUGGCUUCUUAUUGGUCUGUUGUGUGGUGUGUUGGCUUGUGUUGUCACUGAGGACAAAAUCUAUUUCAGCGUUAACCAAAAAAGUAAUAUGGUAAAAUGUGUCCACUUGGCUGCAGAGUAUGAGGAAUGACUGAAUAAGUUUCAAUCCAGGCGCAUUUUGAUAAAAAAAAAUUAAACAUAAUAACAAGUUCUUAUAAUAUGACUACCUCUAAUUUGAAUAAAAAUAUUAAAAUGUAUUUUUAUGCUCAUUAAAUCAAAUACUCUUCAUGUUAGUCCCAAAUUUCUCUUUAAAACAAAACCACAGAGCUGCCUUUCAGGGGACAAAAACUGGUUUCAACUGAAACUGGUGAUAUGCAAACAAGGUGUAUUUGUAUCCAGGUAUACAAAUGAGAAAAAAAACAACAACAGUCUUCUAAGUCAGAUUCACUGAAUCAUACUUUGGGACAAAUAUGGCUUAUAUAUUGCUUAUUAUUAUUGAUAAAUGCAAGAGUUCAUCAUUUGAAGUAGCCAUACACUUAUAAUGACAGAACUAAUUAUUAAAC